rnacentral:rRNA from 1 species
AACGCGAAGAACCUUACCUACUCUUGACAUCCAGAGAACUUUCCAGAGAUGGAUUGGUGCCUUCGGGAACUCUGAGACAGGUGCUGCAUGGCUGUCGUCAGCUCGUGUUGUGAAAUGUUGGGUUAAGUCCCGCAACGAGCGCAACCCUUAUCCUUGUUUGCCAGCGAGUAAUGUCGGGAACUCCAGGGAGACUGCCGGUGAUAAACCGGAGGAAGGUGGGGACGACGUCAAGUCAUCAUGGCCCUUACGAGUAGGGCUACACACGUGCUACAAUGGCGCAUACAGAGGGCGGCCAACUUGCGAGAGUGAGCGAAUCCCAAAAAGUGCGUCGUAGUCCGGAUUGGAGUCUGCAACUCGACUCCAUGAAGUCGGAAUCGCUAGUAAUCGUGGAUCAGAAUGCCACGGUGAAUACGUUCCCGGGCCUUGUACACACCGCCCGUCACACCAUGGGAGUGGGCUGCAAAAGAAGUAGGUAGUUUAACCUUCGGGGGGACGUUUACCACUUUGUGGUUCAUGACUGGGGUGAAGUCGUAACAAGGUA